AUGUAACAUAAUUUAAUUUUCUAUCUGAUGUUAUAAGUUUCAAAACAUGACUAAUGGGGGAACAUUACGAAAUUCGAUGUUAAAAACUGCUGACCACGAUUAUACACCCACAGCUGCUCACGGUUUCGUGUACUGCAAAUGCUGCUAAUAUAGUUCUGACGCUAGCAGACGCACGUUUUUGCAUUCAAUUGGCUGCCACGGUGUUCCAUGUGAUGAUAGAGAACAUCCCUGGUUUUCGACCUUUCUGUGUUGUGUAUAUUUGUUUAUUAGGCACAUUUCAAUUUCAAUUCAAAUUUGAUUUUGGUUCUCUCACUUCUGUGGGUCUUGGAGUUGUGGAUAUAUUUUGUGGAGCGUGGAGCAUCGGAGAUUUGUGGAGUAUUGAAUUGACCUGGUGUCAGUAUUCUUUGGUGUUUUUUUAUAGAUAUUUUCAUAGGCUACAAUGCCACCAGGAAGACCACUGACCAAGACCAAGACAGUGCUCAUGCCCGAAUCAUCGGCAACACAGGAUGGCAAACUUCGCCUCCCCUGGCUUGUAUGAAGCCUUGAUUUCCAUUUAAGGAAACUGCCCGCCAGUGGACGGAGGCCCGGCGACGGACGCUGGCUCAGUGGCCAACAGUGGUCCGCCAGCCGGCUGAUGGUGGCUCGCCGACCGACGCCGGCCCGUCGGCUGACCACGGCAUUCCGGCUGAUGGUGGCCCGCCAGCCGACGGAGGUCCGCCGGCCAUUCGUGGCACGCCCGCCGACGGCAGCUCGACGACACGUCCUGGCUAUGCCACCCCCAAGAUUACUUCGCCCCCCAGUCCAUAGGUCACCAGUUGCGGGCGCUUCAUCUGACGGUGUCGUCCGACGGCUCCACGGUGACCAGCGCCGCCACUGCGGAAACCAUCCGACCCCGAAAAUGCUGCUAGCCGUACACGAACAAAGGGCGCCGGGCACCCAGGACCAGCGCCCUGCUCCGAGGCGGUGUCCAAAGAAGGCUGCACAGUGCACUUGCUGUGCUAAGGCAUAGUGCGCGCUGACUGAUAGGAACAAAUGACGGUCAGUUAUCAGAUUUCAGUAUGGAACUCAAGAUGGUCGGAGCCGACCUGGCUCGGUGGAUGGUGUGCCAGGGUUGAUUAAGUGUCGAAAGGAGUGAGACGCCCAGAUAUGUGAAGGAUACGUCGAUACGAGCCCCGGCUUCGACUCCCCGUCCCAAAACGAUGUUGGUUGUGAUUGGAGGAUUCCCCCCCCCCCACCCCCACCCGCCCCCGAAUUUGUGCUAUGUAAUAGGACGAUAAUAUGUCGUGGUCUCAUUCUGGCUCGAUAUGGUAAUAGGUACUUAAUUGGACAGAUGCUGAUGGUAUUGGUGGUGGAUGUAAAUGGCAGGUUUGGCGAGCGCGAAUUAAUAAUCGUGAGAGCACUAGCUGCAAUCAGUCGCGCGCUUAUUGCUGAGCACCUGUGAGCAAGAAAAUUAUAUGAAUGUGGUAGUUCGUCGUGAAAUCUGUGUACUUUUGGAUUAAGCUGUCAGAACAUAAGUGUAUUUUUGCCGUGUCCACUGCAGCUCUGAAACAGAAACAUGGA
rnacentral:misc_RNA from 1 species